GUAUCUCAUCACAAUGGCGAAAUUGAUUGGUAUAAAACUCCUUAUGACCCUAACUAUGGACUAAAAAUCACUGAAAAAGUUAAGAAAAUAGGGUAAACUCUGAGAUAUUUUAUCUUAAAAAAUAGAGAGAUUACCCAUGAAGAAGAAUAUAACAGAAUUAUUUUGCCUAAUCGACGAUUUUUGCAAUAUGGUCGACAAAAAUUUUGCAGAAAAACUCCUAUCAAGGAGCAAAAAACCUACGAGAGUACCAGAGAUUACGCAUUCUGAAAUUCUUACAACUGUGCUACUUUAUCACCAAUCGCCAUGUAAAAAUUUCAAAUUUUUCUACCUAUUUUACCUAAAAUUAUUGUACAAAUCCGAAU